GCUGGUGGCUGCGGACGCCGGGGUCCCGAGGCAUGGCGGGGGCGGGGCCGGGGGAGGUGUGCACCGAGCAGGCUAGGGCGACCCUUGCCCUGGCCCCAUGAGCCAGGACUCGACAGACUGCACCAAAGCGUCUACCAUGUGCCAGCCCCAGGGCGAGAGGAGUAUUACCGCGGUGACUGAAGUAGACCUGGUUACUUCAGUAGAGAGAAUACUGUUCAACGAGGAGACUCAAACAUUAAACACAACCAUGCAAGCGAACGUAGAUGUUAUAAUGGAUCAUCAUGUUUCCACAAUUAAACCUCGAAGAAUCCAAAAUCAAAAUGUUAUCCACCGCUUAGAACGUCGCCGCAUCAGUUCAGGCAAGGCGGGGACUCACUGGCACCAGGUCCGAGUGCUCCACCAGAACGUCUUCCCCAACUUCACGGUGGUCAACGUUGAAAAGCCUCCUUGUUUCUUGCGUAAAUUCUCCCCUGAUGGGCGCUACUUUAUUGCAUUUUCAUCUGACCAGACAUCUCUUGAAAUCUAUGAGUACCAGGGCUGUCAGGCAGCAGAGGACCUCUUGCAGGGGUACGAAGGGGAGAUCUUGUCCAAUGGCAAUGACCAGAGGUCAGUCAGCAUCCGAGGCCGGCUGUUUGAGCGAUUUUUUGUCCUGCUGCACAUUACCAAUGUAGCGGCCAAUGGUGAGCACUUGAACCGGGAGUGUAGCCUCUUCACAGACGACUGCCGCUGUGUCAUCGUGGGCUCUGCUGCCUACCUCCCAGACGAACCUCACCCUCCUUUCUAUGAGGUGUAUCGGAACAGUGAAUCAGUGACCCCCAAUCCACGGUCCCCUCUUGAGGACUAUUCCCUCCACAUCAUUGACCUUCACACUGGCCGACUGUGUGACACACGCACAUUCAAGUGUGACAAAGUGGUCUUGUCACACAAUCAAGGGCUAUACUUAUACAAAAACAUCCUGGCCAUAUUGUCUGUGCAGCAGCAGACCAUCCAUGUCUUCCAGGUGACUCCUGAAGGCACAUUUAUUGACGUUCGGACCAUUGGCCGCUUCUGCUAUGAGGAUGACUUGCUCACUGUGUCUGCUGUUUUCCCUGAGGUGCAGCGGGACAGCCAGACGGGCAUGGCCAAUCCUUUCAGGGACCCUUUUAUCAACUCCUUGAAGCACCGGUUGCUGGUUUAUCUCUGGAGGAGGGCGGAGCAGGACGGUAGCGCCAUGGCGAAGAGGCGCUUCUUCCAGUACUUUGACCAGCUGCGGCAGCUACGCAUGUGGAAGAUGCAGCUGCUGGACGAGAACCACCUAUUCAUCAAGUACACCAGCGAAGAUGUAGUGACGCUGCGGGUCACAGACCCGUCUCAGGCCUCCUUCUUUGUGGUGUACAACAUGGUGACCACAGAGGUGAUUGCUGUGUUUGAGAACACGUCGGAUGAGCUUCUGGAGCUCUUUGAGAACUUCUGCGACCUCUUCCGCAAUGCCACCCUGCACAGUGAAGUCCAGUUCCCUUGCUCGGCUUCUAGCAACAACUUUGCAAGGCAGAUUCAGCGCCGGUUCAAAGACACAAUUAUAAAUGCCAAGUAUGGAGGGCACACGGAGGCUGUGCGGCGGCUGCUAGGCCAGCUCCCCAUCAGCGCCCAGUCCUACAGCGGGAGCCCCUACCUGGACUUGUCUCUCUUCAGCUAUGAUGACAAGUGGGUGUCAGUCAUGGAGCGACCCAAGACUUGUGGAGACCACCCAAUCAGGUUCUAUGCCCGGGACUCUGGCUUGCUGAAGUUUGAGAUCCAGGCGGGCUUGCUGGGCCGCCCCAUCAACCACACAGUGCGACGUCUUGUGGCCUUCACCUUUCACCCCUUUGAGCCAUUUGCCAUUUCUGUGCAGAGGACUAAUGCAGAGUAUGUUGUCAACUUCCACAUGCGACACUGCUGCACCUAGUCACCUCAGUACAACGUGCUGUCCAGGACAAUAAAGCAAAAGCUGCUAGCUGCCUGCUUUCGUCGGUGUUCCAGACUGGUAUACCUCACCUACAGCAGAGCCUGAGAGACUGGGCGGGGUGCAACCUGGUGGGACUCUGUUUCAAGUUCUCUCGCUUUCCCUUGUGGGAACACCUAGCAUUAAAGCCAUGUUAUUUUGUUUACUUAGCAUUUUAUGUCUGUGGAGAUAGAGGAACUUACACCCUCCCCCCUUGAUGUCACUCUUCAGCAUUAUGGUGUGCAGCCUGCAGCAGGCCUGAGGGGGACUUUCUUGUUUCUUCAGCCCCUUCAAAGACUGCUCCCAGCUCUGGUGACUGACUUCAACUUGACCUUUCUCCAGUUUCAACUCCUGGCCACUGAAUGAAAACUGGUAGCAUCUCAAGUGGUGUCACAGCCUCUGUUUCCAGCAUACCUAUGUCUGAGGGGACCCGAGCGCCUCAUCCCUCUGCUCCUUGCAGCU